UUAUACGUUAUUUUCGUAUCUAAUUUUUUUGUGAGUAGGGGCUUAAUUAUUAAGUGUUUCGUUUUUCUAAUAUUUGGUGGAAUAUUAUUGGGGUAGUCAACGCUUGUUUUUACCUGCUAAGGCUAAUGUAUAAACUAGGAUUAGAUACCCUAUUAUUUUAGAAUUAAUAUUUAUCUCAGGGUAGUAUUAGGAUUUUUAUGAAACUCAAAGAAUUUGGCGGCAUUUUAUCUUUUUAGAGGAACCUGUCCUGUGAUUGAUAUUACACGUUUAGCGCAGCUAAUUAUAAUUGUUUGUAUAUCUCCGUUAUUAGAAUAUUUAUAUAUAAUAUUUUCGGGUUUUUUAAUUAAAGUGUAUUUCAGGUCAAGGUGCAGCUUAUUAUUUAGUAGGAGAUGGGUUACAAUAAUUUAAUUUAUACGGAUUUUUGUUUAGAAUUAUAGAUUGAAGGUGGAUUUAUAAGUAAAUUUUAAUAAUUAUUAAUUUUGAAUUAGUUCUAAUUUGUGUACAUAUCGCCCGUCGCUCUCAUUUUUGAGAUAAGUCGUAACAUAGUAGAUUUACUGGAAGGUGAAUCUGGUUU
rnacentral:rRNA from 1 species